rnacentral:tRNA from 1 species
AGCCGCUCCAGCGCGCGGUCGAGGGUCUUGGACUCCGGCUCCGGCAGAUCGCGGAGCCAGUAGGCGCCGCCGAGUUCCGGGCCCGGUACGGCCUC